AUGCCCUCUGCCUCGAGCGCCUCCUCCUCCCACUCCAGCGCCGCCGCUACCCUCGGCCCCCUCUCUCUAUCCAGUGAUGUCGCCUCUCCUCCCAUGUACGUGCGCCACCGCCCCUCCGCCUCCUCCUACCUGUCACCGUCUCGCCGCUGCAGCCGUCCCCAAGGCUUUCAACAAUUACAGUCAGGGCAGUCUUCUAAUUGUAUCAGCAACAUAUACUGCACCGUGGACCACCGGGUCAAGAACUCCAGCUUGGAAAAGUACCUUUACCAUGCACUAUGCAAUGACAGCUACCCAAAUGCUAAGAAUAACAGGUUCCUAUUUGCUGUUGAAAUCUCAGAAGAAAUUUAUGGAAGGUUUGUCUAUCAUUUCCAAUUUAUAUUCGCAGGAUCAGCUGAAACAGCAAGGCUUGGGCAAGCAAAAGAAGAGACAGAGAGAGAUAGCCGAGCAUCAUGCCAAACGGAGGCCGAUUUCCAAGGAAGCUCGCUAAGGGCUUUUGAUCAUUUAUAUUCUUGGCAUUUCAACUUCCAGACCAGCAGUGAUUCUGGCGCAAACGUCAAACGCCUUGAGCAAGAGACGAACAUAAAGAUCGAACAGCUGAAGCAGCAGAUGCUGGAACAUGCUUCCGUUUUCCUGACUCGUAUAGCAGAAUCGUUUGCUUCAUCUCCAGAGAAACUGGAUCAAUUGUGCAACCAUGGAUAG
rnacentral:rRNA from 1 species